CGUGAGCAGAGGUAGCAGGCAGUGCUGAGGAGGUGGUCAGCAUGGCGGGAAAGUGGAGCCGAGGUGGGCCUUGGCUCUGCGUGCUCCCUGUGCCCAGCGCUCUCCCUCCUCCUGCCUGGCAGGCUCCUCCUCAGCUGCAGAUCCAAAGCCAACUCUCAGCUCCUUGGAGCUGCCUUCUGCUGCCCCUCCAGCACCAUCAGACUGUCCUCCCAGGAUGUCACAGAAGCCCCUGCUGUCUUUCUUCGCCAGCAGUUGUCAUGGUUGGGAUGUGGCAGUAAUAGGUAUGUGCAUCUUAUUGAAUGUUUCUUCUCUCUGCCGGGAAGGCUGAGCUCUAAUGUGAGCCUCCAGUACCUACAAAGAUGAUGGACACAGAGCGGG
rnacentral:lncRNA from 1 species